rnacentral:rRNA from 1 species
CGGACCGGCGCACGGGUGAGUAACGCGUAUGCAACCUACCUAUCAGAGGGGAAGAACCCGGCGAAAGUCGGACUAAUACCGCAUAAAACAGGGGUUCCACAUGGAAAUAUUUGUUAAAGAAUUAUCGCUGAUAGAUGGGCAUGCGUUCCAUUAGAUAGUUGGUGAGGUAACGGCUCACCAAGUCCACGAUGGAUAGGGGUUCUGAGAGGAAGGUCCCCCACACUGGUACUGAGACACGGACCAG